GGGGGUGUAGCUAAGAGGAAGAGCAAUUGCCUAGCACAUAUUAGGCCCUGGGUUCAAUCCCCAGAACUGCCA
rnacentral:tRNA from 1 species